rnacentral:miRNA from 1 species
CUGCACUGACGAGCUUUCACCC